UACGGAGGGUGCAAGCGUUGUUCGGAAUCACUGGGCGUAAAGCGCGUGUAGGUGGUCUUUUAAGUCUGAUGUGAAAGCCCGGGGCUUACCCCCGGAAGGGCAUUGGAUACUGGGAGACUAGAGUACCGGAGAGGAAGGUGGAAUUCCUGGUGUAGCGGUGAAAUGCGUAGAUAUCAGGAGGAACACCGGUGGCGAAGGCGGCCUUCUGGACGGCUACUGACACUGAGACGCGAAAGCGUGGGGAGCAAACAGGAUUAGAUACCCUGGUAGUCCACGCUGUAAACGAUGGGCACUAGGUGUUCGGGGUAUUGACCCCCUGAGUGCCGCAGCUAACGCAUUAAGUGCCCCGCCUGGGGAGUACGGCCGCAAGGUUAAA
rnacentral:rRNA from 1 species